UACGUAGGGGGCGAGCGUUGUCCGGAUUCAUUGGGCGUAAAGAGCUCGUAGGCGGCUUGGUAAGUCGGAUGUGAAACCUCCAGGCUCAACCUGGAGUCGCCAUCCGAUACUGCCAUGGCUAGAGUCCGGAAGGGGCCCACGGAAUUCCUGGUGUAGCGGUGAAAUGCGCAGAUAUCAGGAGGAACACCGAUGGCGAAGGCAGUGGGCUGGGCCGGCACUGACGCUGAGGAGCGAAAGCGUGGGGAGCGAACAGG
rnacentral:rRNA from 1 species